rnacentral:rRNA from 1 species
AUGUUCCGUGGAGUUUCAGGUCAUUUCGAGAAUAUAUUUUUUCUGGACAUAAAACAACACCACUCAAUUCUGCUGAAAAUAGCGCCAGUCCGGGUUAGUUCCAGUCAAAUCAUACAAGUUAGAGUCCAAAACAAGGGCAAAAGUGUUUGGAAAAGUAGAUACGACGGAGACGUAUCAACUCCCCCAAGCUUAAACCCUUGCUUGUCCUCAAGAAAUUCAGUUGACAAACUGAAAGAAAGAAGAAAAACUUUUACAAACUCUAUUUGCUCUUGUUGUUGUAAAUAUGUCAAGCCAGCAUUCAAGUUUUUAGCAUAG